rnacentral:rRNA from 1 species
GAUGAACGCUGGCGGCGUGCCUAACACAUGCAAGUCGAACGGACUUACAUUGAAGCCUAGCGAUAUGUAAGUUAGUGGCGGACGGGUGAGUAACGCGUGGGUAACCUGCCUUGUACUGGGGGACAACAGUUGGAAACGACUGCUAAUACCGCAUAAGCGCACAGCUUCGCAUGAAGCAGUGUGAAAAACUCCGGUGGUACAAGAUGGACCCGCGUCUGAUUAGCUAGUUGGUGAGGUAACGGCCCACCAAGGCGACGAUCGGUAGCCGGACUGAGAGGUUGAACGGCCACAUUGGGACUGAGACACGGCCCAGACUCCUACGGGAGGCAGCAGUGGGGAAUAUUGCACAAUGGGGGAAACCCUGAUGCAGCGACGCCGCGUGGAGGAAGAAGGUCUUCGGAUUGUAAACUCCUGUUGUUGAGGAAGAUAAUGACGGUACUCGAACAAGGAAGUGACGGCUAACUACGUG